CCUACGGGUGGCAGCAGUGAGGAAUAUUGGUCAAUGGGCGCGAGCCUGAACCAGCCAAGUCGCGUGAGGGAUGAAGGUUCUAUGGAUCGUAAACCUCUUUUAUAAGGGAAUAAAGUGUGGGACGUGUCCUAUUUUGUAUGUACCUUAUGAAUAAGGACCGGCUAAUUCCGUGCCAGCAGCCGCGGUAAUACGGAAGGUCCGGGCGUUAUCCGGAUUUAUUGGGUUUAAAGGGAGCGUAGGCCGCAUGUCAAGCGUGCUGUGAAAUGUCCGGGCUCAACCCGGGCCUUGCAGCGCGAACUGGCGUGCUUGAGUCCGCGGAAAGCAGGCGGAAUUCGUCGUGUAGCGGUGAAAUGCUUAGAUAUGACGAAGAACCCCGAUUGCGAAGGCAGCUUGCUGCAGCGGAACUGACGCUGAUGCUCGAAAGCGCGGGUAUCGAACAGGAUUAGAUACCCCAGUAGUC
rnacentral:rRNA from 1 species